rnacentral:rRNA from 1 species
AGUGAACGCUGGCGGUAGGCCUAACACAUGCAAGUCGAACGGCAGCACAGGAGAGCUUGCUCUCUGGGUGGCGAGUGGCGGACGGGUGAGGAAUACAUCGGAAUCUACUCUGUCGUGGGGGAUAACGUAGGGAAACUUACGCUAAUACCGCAUACGACCUACGGGUGAAAGCAGGGGACCUUCGGGCCUUGCGCGAUUGAAUGAGCCGAUGUCGGAUUAGCUAGUUGGCGGGGUAAAGGCCCACCAAGGCGACGAUCCGUAGCUGGUCUGAGAGGAUGAUCAGCCACACUGGAACUGAGACACGGUCCAGACUCCUACGGGAGGCAGCAGUGGGGAAUAUUGGACAAUGGGCGCAAGCCUGAUCCAGCCAUACCGCGUGGGUGAAGAAGGCCUUCGGGUUGUAAAGCCCUUUUGUUGGGAAAGAAAUCCAGCUGGCUAAUACCCGGUUGGGAUGACGGUACCCAAAGAAUAAGCACCGGCUAACUUCGUGCCAGCAGCCGCCGCAG